UAGGGAAUAUUGGGCAAUGGGCGAGAGCCUGACCCAGCCAUGCCGCGUGAAGGAUGAAGGCUUUCUGAGUUGUAAACUUCUUUUGAUUGGGAACAAAGAGACCUUGCGAGGUAAGAUGAGUGUACCAAUAGAAUAAGCACCGGCUAACUCCGUGCCAGCAGCCGCGGUAAUACGGAGGGUGCAAGCGUUGUCCGGAUUUAUUGGGUUUAAAGGGUGCGUAGGCGGCCCUCUAAGUCAGUGGUGAAAUACUGCAGCUUAACUGUAGCAUUGCCAUUGAUACUGGAGGGCUUGAGUACAGAUGAGGUAGGCGGAAUUUAUGGUGUAGCGGUGAAAUGCAUAGAUACCAUAAAGAACACCUAUUGCGAAGGCAGCUUACUAAGCUGUAACUGACGCUGAGGCACGAAAGCGUGGGGAGCGAACAG
rnacentral:rRNA from 1 species